UCUUUCCUUUUACCAAGGUGCUUCGAUGGCCGGCUCAAAUCCUCUCCACAAUCUUGAGCAUUUUCUGUCUCUAAUUUUGGCAGUGGACCACCUACUAAUUUCAUGGCAUUCACACAUGAGAUUAUAGGCCACAGAAAUGGAGAAGAAUUUCUCUGAGGCCUGAAGACACUAAACAGCUUCAAAGAUGGACCACCAUGAUUCUCACUUCCUGAUAUUAAUGCCUUUGUGUAGUCCCCUCCCAUUUGGAAUCAUGGCUGGCCCACAGAAUAUAGAUGUACAGUGUGACUUCUGAGGUUAGGUCAUAAAAGGCACUACACAUUCCACCUUGCUCUCAUGGACCACUUUAUUUUGGUGCAAGCCAACAACCAUGUCCUGAGGACACUCAAGUUGCCAUGUGGAGAGGUCCCUAUGGAGAGGAAAUGAGAUCUUCCAGCAACUAGCACUAUGUGGCUGGCCAGCAAAAUCCUGAUUUUAUUCUGGAAUGCAUCCUAUCUGUACUUCCAAAUGGGAUCCUACCAUUCCUCCGGUGAUAGUUCUUUGUCCAGAGUGAAUACUGACAGUACAAAUGAAGUAAUGCAAUAGAAAUCACUGAACAGUACUGAAAGUAGACGUGAUGAAGUUGGAAUACCAAAACUCUGUACUUAAUUGUUCUAAGAUAACAACCAUUUUGCAAAGAUUCUAUCUUUAUUCACAAGAUCCUAUAUUUAUGAACAGCUAUCUUCCAUUAUUAAAUUAAACAAAAAUAUAUCUUUUGA